UACGUAGGAGACGAGCGUUGUCCGGAGUUACUGGGCGUAAAGGGUGCGCAGGUGGUUGUGCGCGUGGGGGGUGGAAUCGCCCGGCUCAACUGGGCGCGGUCGGUGGAAACUGGUCACCUGGAGGACGGUAGAGGCGAGUGGAAUUCCCGGUGUAGUGGUGAAAUGCGUAGAGAUCGGGAGGAACACCAGUGGCGAAGGCGGCUCGCUGGGCCGGCCCUGACGCUGAGGCGCGAAGGCGUGGGGAGCGAACGGG
rnacentral:rRNA from 1 species